UCUGCAAGUUACUUCUGAUUGUUUUCAAUUAUCUAUCUUUUACUGUUCUGAAUCUGGAAGAGCAUAUAUCAGUAGGACACUAGGAUGUCAUUACUCAAUAUGCAUACAAAUGACUGGAAUUUAAGAUUUUAAGCGUGAUCUUAAUAUCAGAGACUCUAAGUAUGAUCUUACCAAGUGUAUGAUUGGUGGGGCAGCAUAAAGCUGGUCAUGGUCCUUCUACGCUUUAAUAAUAAUAGGAGAUUUAGAAUAGAUGGGAACCUGGUCCUCUUAGAUUUGAGUUGUUAAAGCAAUCAACCUUUUGAUCUAUACCCUUUAAUAAUAAUAGGAGAUUUAGAAUAGAUGGGAACCUGGUCCUCUUAGAUUUUAGUUGUUAAAGCAACCAGCCUUUUGAUCUGGA
rnacentral:lncRNA from 1 species